rnacentral:lncRNA from 1 species
AAUAAAGGGAAAGCGCGGGUAGGGGGUGGGAAACCAAUACAAGCAGAGCAAAUAAUAUAAAGCUGCAUUAUAGAUGCUCACUAGCUGUUCUACAUCCUUUGCGUCUCAAUUUCCUCAUCUUUUAUUAAGCAGCUUGCAUUAAGUUAAGCUCUAAGAUCCUUUUCAAGUUUAAUAUAUGAUGACGGGCAUCAUAGUUUUGGGGCUGUCCAACAAAGGAUGUGUAUCAUAACUUAAUCAAGCAGCGACGGCCUUUGUUGUCCACCAUCACAGACUCAUCAUAAACCACCACCAGUUUUUCCAAUAUUAUCUAAACAUUGGAAAGAGAACUAUGAAAAGACAGAUAACUACGCUGCUUUUUGGACGACAAACUAACAAAUAUCUUAUAUUUUAUAUUAAAUAUCUUAUAUUAAAUAUCUUAUAUUUUAUAUAAGAUAUAAAAUAUUUAUAUAUAAACAUGUAAGAAA